rnacentral:rRNA from 1 species
UACGUAGGGGGCAAGCGUUGUCCGGAAUUAUUGGGCGUAAAGAGCUCGUAGGCGGUUUGUUGCGUCGGCUGUGAAAUCCCGAGGCUCAACCUCGGGUCUGCAGUCGAUACGAGCAAACUAGAGUGUUGCAGGGGAGACUGGAAUUCCUGGUGUAGCGGUGAAAUGCGCAGAUAUCAGGAGGAAUACCGAUGGCGAAGGCAGGUCUCUGGACAGUUCCUGACACUGAGGCACGAAGGCCAGGGGAGCAAAACGGG